GUGUUCCAGCUCCAUGAAGAUGGGAGGGGACUGGUGUGCACAGGCCGGAAGUCGCCCGCCCUUGUGGGACAUCACUUCAUUUUCUGAAGCUCUUAGAGAAUGGUGGAGCUGGCCAUGCCCUUUGGACUUCACCAGGUCUGCUUCUCUGGCUGGAAUGUGGGUCAUGCCUGAACUAUUUCUGCAAAUAUAACAUCUUGCUUUUCCAAGACAGAAACCACCCAUAAACCCACGAAGCCAUGAGGCUGGCAUGCAGAUCCAGGAGCUGAACUGCCGGGCCCUCAUUAGCUAGCUAAGGUUCAAUACCUGCCACCCACGACUUAAAGGAGGAAAGAUUUCUUUGGCUCACAAUUUCCAGUGGAUUCAGUCCAGAGGUGGCAGACUUUAGGGCAGAAACACAUGGUGGAAGGAAGGUGGCAGCCAGCGAGAAGCAGAGCGAGAAGGAAAGGGCUAGGGCGGAGAAGACACCCUUCCGGGUCCUAUCCCCAGCCCGGCCCCUUCUGGCCACACCUCACCUUUGCAGUGAGACCUCUGGGGGGUGUCUCGCAGCUGAGCCAUAGCUCCCCUUUUCUGGAUGGUUCCCUGAAUGAUUCUGAUUGUUACCUGAGAUCCUCACCCUGGCCAGGUGUUUCUUACUAAGACUCUGGCCUUGAACAGCGCAGACCAAGGGGUCUGAAGCCAGAAGCCCCCAGCAGCCCUGGCACUCUAUUCCAAAGUUCAGGAUGCACUGAAGAAGGCCAAGAGCUUCUGUGAGUCUCAGGUCUGGGGAAUGAGUGAGUGCAGAGCCCGCGCCCGUGCAAUCAAUCAAGUAGCUGUGUGUGUGUGUGUGUGUGUGUGUGUGUGUGUGUGUGUGUAGUGAAACAUAGAAAAUAGAUUAUUUUAAUUGCUAAUUGUACUUGAGACCCCUACCAAGAUAUUUUUAAAAAUGUGGCCUAAAUGUUCUCCUCAACAGGCGCAGUGAAGGAAUUACAGUUUAUUCAGAGGCUGACGUGCAGCUGCUGAUUGGAGUACAAAGAGCAGUAAUCAAGAAUUCUCACCCACUGCGGUCUGAGAAGCAUGGCCUUUUCCUGGAGUCUGGAAGCACAGCGGUGUCUCAGGAGUUUGCGAUGUCACUCUGGGACGGACCCGGACCGAGAGUCUCAAGGUCACUGGUCAGGCCAGGGAAACCACGUGAGGUCUCAGCUGCAGCGAAGAACGUGUAUCCUGACGAUGUUACCCAGGACUGGACAACGACCCAGGGCAGGUCCAUGGGCUCACCGGAUAGGUGGUAGGAUAUGACUCCACUGUAAGUUUAGGAACAUCUUCCCUGGCAAAUAGGAGCCCUACAUUUCUACUUCUGGAAGUAACAGCCAAGACCCUCCCAGAGGACUCAGCUCCUGCAGAACAACCACAAAAUCUGAACAGGACACAGAAGCAACUACCCGCAGCGCUGGGGAACAGCAGGGGCAGAUGGCUUUGCAGAGGUGGCGAACCUGUGUAAGACCGAGGGCCUUACCAAACGCUCUGAGGAGCUGACUGCAGGGAAGAACACCUGGGAAGGAACACACCGGACAAGUUGGAAAGUAAAACAGACCUUAGUCUGGCCAGACUGCACUCCCAAAGCAAAGUAGCUUAGAGAGGCGACUAGCCCAGAGUCCAAGGCUCUUU